AACGAACGCUGGCGGCAUGCCUAACACAUGCAAGUCGAACGAGACCUUCGGGUCUAGUGGCGCACGGGUGCGUAACGCGUGGGAACCUGCCCUUAGGUUCGGAAUAACUCCCCGAAAGGGGUGCUAAUACCAGAUAAUGUCUUCGGACCAAAGAUUUAUCGCCUUUGGAUGGGCCCGCGUUGGAUUAGCUAGUUGGUAGGGUAAAAGCCUACCAAGGCGACGAUCCAUAGCUGGUCUGAGAGGAUGAUCAGCCACACUGGGACUGAGACACGGCCCAGACUCCUAGGGGGGGCAGGAGGGGGGAAUAUUGGACAAGGGGCGAAAGCCUGAUCCAGCAAUGCCGGGUGAGUGAUGAAGGCCUUAGGGUUGUAAAGCUCUUUUACCCGGGAUGAUAAUGACAGUACCGGGAGAAAAAGCCCCGGCUAACCCCGU
rnacentral:rRNA from 1 species